GCGGGUGUAGUUUAGUGGUAAAACCUCAGCCUUCCAAGCUGAUGUCGU
rnacentral:tRNA from 1 species